AACAGGAUUAGAUACCCUGGUAGUCCACGCCCUAAACGAUGUCAACUGGUUGUUGGGAGGGUUUCUUCUCAGUAACGUAGCUAACGCGUGAAGUUGACCGCCUGGGGAGUACGGCCGCAAGGUUGGAACUCAAAGGAAUUGACGGGGACCCGCACAAGCGGUGGAUGAUGUGGUUUAAUUCGAUGCAACGCGAAAAACCUUACCUACCCUUGACAUGUCUGGAAUCCUGAAGAGAUUUGGGAGUGCUCGAAAGAGAGCCAGAACACAGGUGCUGCAUGGCCGUCGUCAGCUCGUGUCGUGAGAUGUUGGGUUAAGUCCCGCAACGAGCGCAACCCUUGUCAUUAGUUGCUACGAAAGGGCACUCUAAUGAGACUGCCGGUGACAAACCGGAGGAAGGUGGGGAUGACGUCAGGUCAUCAUGGCCCUUAUGGGUAGGGCUACACACGUCAUACAAUGGCCGGGACAGAGGGCUGCCAACCCGCGAGGGGGAGCUAAUCCCAGAAACCCGGUCGUAGUCCGGAUCGUAGUCUGCAACUCGACUGCGUGAAGUCGGAAUCGCUAGUAAUCGCGGAUCAGCUUGCCGCGGUGAAUACGUUCCCGGGUCUUGUACACACCGCCCGUCACACCAUGGGAGCGGGUUCUGCCAGAAGUAGUUAGCCUAACCGCAAGGGGGGCGAUUACCACGGCAGGGUUCGUGACUGGGGUGAAGUCGUAACAAGGUAACC
rnacentral:rRNA from 1 species